rnacentral:lncRNA from 1 species
AAGGGGGACAGUUUUCUGUUGGAGGCUUUGACAAGGGCACGAAGGGAAGCAGAAUUUGCUGCUGCCAGACUGCCUGCCCUUGCCACUAACAGUAAUUGCCCUAAUGUUGUUCCUUCUGCCCCCCCUCUUGCUUCAAUGCAGGGUAAUGGUAAUGCAUGAAGGGGCCCUGCUCAGACUUUAAGUGGGGAGACUUUUGUCUCACCACAAUUGACAAUGGUUACUGGGAUUAAGGAUUGUGAUUUUGAUGUUAAAAGGGGCCAAUCUGAGUGGGGAAUUUUGGGUUUGUGUGGCCCUGAACCUAAGAAAAAGAUUUGUCCUCCUACUAAGNAAUUGUGUGUAGAAGAAAGAAAAGAUGUAUUGGAUGCUUUAAGAAUCGUAUCUGGUAGAACUGCAGUGUUAGAAAAUGACCAGAAGGCUACAGAAAGCAAGAAUGUAGAAAUUGUGUUAGGCGUGCCUUGUGAUCAUGUACCUGAAUCCAUAGGAGAUAAUGUGUGUAGUGUGCAGGAAAAAGAAUCUGAUGUUGAAGAUUUANAAAGACAGUCUGAAAGUCAGAAUGCACAGGAAUCUGGAGUUAUGGCAGCAGGGAAGCAUAGAGACAGGAUUUCUCUUGCNUUGCCUGUGGAAGUUGAGAUUGUUGAUGUGCCUCAGAGCAUUCUGGAAAAUAAAAUUGUUGAUCAUUGUGUAAUUAGUGUUGAAAACAAGUCUGACAGUCAGGGGACACAGAAAUUUGCUACUGCUUUAAAUAUGACAAUGGAAAAGGGUUUGAAUCCGUUUUUGUGUGCUGAAUGGGAACAAAUGGAGGCUGGUAGUGGUUUGUCUAGGAAUGACAGAACCAGCUCAACCAGGCAAGAAGUACCAUUUNAGGCACAGGAAGGAGACAACCUUACAGUGUCGUUGUUUCACAAAGAGAGCAGAUUUGGAUGUCUAGAUUUNGAGGCUUGUAUUUCUAACUCUGAAGCAAAGAUCUCAAUUGUACCAGAAUGUGAAAAUCUGCAAGAAUGCAAUUUUAAACAAAANGGCUUUCCUGUGAAUUAUAAUAGAGCAGGUAGUUCCUCAGGAAAACUUUUGGAAAAAGAAAACAGGUUUGGUUGUGUAAGUUUUGAGGCGUGUAAUUCUAGUGCUAUGGCUUUGGCAGAACAUGGCUCUGAUAGGGAGAAUGUUGCUGUUGAUUCUAAUUACACUGAGGCAAGAAAACAGGAGAGGAUCAGUCUGAUCCAAACCUGGGAAAAGGAUUUAGAAGCUACUUCUUUGGUUACUCAAAGGGAAGAAAAUAGAGAGGCUUGUGUUUUUGUAGACUCUGGAGUAAGAAAGGAGGCUCAGGAUGUGUCUAGUAUGUGCAAGGGAAAUCCAGAGUUGAAACCAC